AGCGAACGCUGGCGGCAGGCUUAACACAUGCAAGUCGAGCGGGCAUAGCAAUAUGUCAGCGGCAGACGGGUGAGUAACGCGUGGGAACGUACCUUUUGGUUCGGAACAACUGAGGGAAACUUCAGCUAAUACCGGAUAAGCCCUUACGGGGAAAGAUUUAUCGCCGAAAGAUCGGCCCGCGUCUGAUUAGCUAGUUGGUGAGGUAAUGGCUCACCAAGGCGACGAUCAGUAGCUGGGAGGAGAGGAUGAUCAGCCACAUUGGGACUGAGACACGGCCCAAACUCGUACGGAAGGGAGGAGUGGGGAAUAUUGGACAAGGGGCGCAAGCCUGAUCCAGCCAGGCCGGGGGAGUGAUGAAGGCCCUAGGGUUGUAAAGCUCUUUUGUGCGGGAAGAUAAUGACGGUACCGCAAGAAUAAGCCCCGGCUAACUUCGUG
rnacentral:rRNA from 1 species